GGCCCGCUCUCUUCUCCCCAGAAUGGUUCUUUUCCUGCCCCUGGUGUCCCUCUAAGACCCAGAUGUUUCCAGCACCCAUUUGAGAGGCUGAUUCAGCCCAGGCAGUGUCUGGCCUAGGGAAGGUGACUGCAGGAAAUGUUAAAAAAUGGGGGCUGUUACCAUUCCUGAGCAUCGCACAGUCCCUCCGUUGUGACUAAUUAUCCGGCAACACAUUCCCUUUCCUGAGUCCUCUCUGAUGAUGUAUCUGACUUGGAGAUCCUUGGCCUGCUCGCUCUCUUUUCAGUUCUGUUCUGGAGAAUAGAAGCUUCCUGGGCUGGCCUGUUGAGUGUUUUGUUUGGUUGGUUUUGAUUUCCAAGUCUUUUCAGGCUAAUCGGACACGAGGAAAGGUCUGCAUUGAAUCACAGCCUUGGCACUGUUCCCCCCUUCCUUCCCUCCUCCGUUCAUUCCCCCGAACAUCCUUUUCUGUGCCGACAAUGACCUCAGCAGAAAGGGGAAAAGGACGUGGGAAGGCGGGGACACCCUCUCCACACAGGCUGGAAAGACAUCCAGAAGGAGUCCUGGGGUCCCUCACCACGCAGGGGCUCAGCCUCGCCAGAUAGUUGUCAUCACCCAUGGAUGAGUUCUUUCCAUCCUAGCACUGCUUGCUGCAUGGUCCAGGAUCUGUGGGGCCUGUCUUCUUUACAACUUUGCUCACUUCGUGAAUGUGGGGGUGUAUGAAGAUGCUGACCCCCCAACCACAGAACCCUUGUGCCCACUGCAGGUGCUCUGUCAGCAGUGACUUCUCACUACCUGGCAUCCUCUGAAUUCACGAGCAGUUUGAAGAAUGAGCAAAUACUGAGCAAAGCUCAUAGAAUUAAAUACACACAGACCUGUGUAAGUUAACACCAAGCUAAGGGUUAAGUACUUUCCAAAAAUUCUCAGUGUGGUUGGUGGGUGAGAAGGGCUGUCGUCCCCUCUGGCUGCCUUGCCAAGCUGGUAGAGGGGCCAUCUCUCACUACCUACUGCUCUGCUCUGCCAGAGCUUAAGCCCAGGCAGCUGAGUUAAAAGUGUGACCAAAUGGACCAUCUUGUCCCUGAAAAUUGGGACCUAAGCUCGAUUCCGAGAUUUAAUCAUGGCAGAGGAGUUUACUCUGCUAACCACCAUCACCCCACCCUAUCCCCCAGAGGGGUGCGGUGGGUAAGGGGGUGGCAACUGGUUGUUUCCAAUGAAAGGGACACAGUGCUGCUCACAGCCUGUCCUGCUGCGGUGGCUUCAGAGGGGGGCUGAGAAUAAGCCUGUGUCCGAGGCAGCCCUCCAAAUACAGCAGGGCUGGGUUGACCUUUAAAUAGAUGGGCUCUGGGCCACUCAGUUCCUGGAAGUUUGAAGAAAGUCAGCCUUUCAAGUGAUGCGACUUCCAACCUCAGGAAAGAUCCCUGUGUUUGUAAAGGGUAUAAUUUACUGUUGCUUUUGCACUUCAUGAUAUGUGGCUGCACAGCCAGUGGGAGCCAGCAUGCCAGAAUUAGGAGGGGAAAAUCCUCAAGUAUUUUAAUAUACCCCUACUUAGAAGCAAGAUAAACAUAUGUAUUGUACUUUGGGACAGAAGCAAGGGGGGUUUCGCGGGUGGGAAAGGGAGAGUCCUGGCAUUGCAUGAAAGGUCUUUUUAAGCUGAACUCUGAGGGUUUGUAAGCAAAGCUGGCAUGAGCAAAUGAUGCCAGGAUCUACUUGGCUGUGUAAAAGCUGUAGUCCCUCCCCAGACAGGCAGACUGCUAGAACCCUCCCUAAGCCAUAAACUAGUACACUGUUUUGCCUCGCCCAAUUAAAAAUGAUUGGGUGUGGGUUGUCAUCACAGUUGACUUAGAUGAUUUACUUUCUUCCAGGAAAUCUUCCUCCCAACCAUCUAUGAGUUGUUGUGAAUAGGAAUGUAGGGGCCCCAGCAGGGUGUGUAAAGGUACCAGUUCCUGGGGCGUCAAAGGUUUCUCUUUCCCUUCGUACCCCCUCACUGACAUGCCCAGGUCUGUCUGUGUAGAGCAGUGGGUGGAUUUACAGACUCCGCUGAGAACCCCCUUAUAGCAUAUUUUCAGGUUCGUGAUGAUAUCAUGGGCUGUGACCCUGGGAGUUUAAUUGGAAUGAAUUUCAAGGUUUUGUUAAACUUGGCUAGAAUCUUCCUAUAUCUCCAGCAAGAGCUUGAUGGGG
rnacentral:lncRNA from 1 species